GCCAGCUCAGUUGGUAGAGCAAGAGACUCACGAGACGCUUAACCUCAGGGUUGUGGGUUCGAGUCCCGCAUUGGGCA